UUGACGGAUUUUAGUCUUCGGAUUAAAGUUAGUGGCGCACGGGUGCGUAACGCGUACACAACAUACCCUUAACUGGGGGAUAGCGGUGGGAAACUGCCAGUAAUACCCCAUACCCUUACGACGUGGCAUUAUGUUGUAAGGAAAGUUACGGCGGUUAGGGAUUGGUGUGCGUCCGAUUAGCUAGUUGGCGGGGUAACGGCCCACCAAGGCGACGAUCGGUAGGGGGUGUGAGAGCAUGACCCUCCACACGGGUACUGAGACACGGACCCGACUCCUACGGGAGGCAGCAGUAAGGAAUAUUGGACAAUGGGCGGAAGCCUGAUCCAGCCAUGCCGCGUGAAGGAAGAAGGCGCUCAGCGUUGUAAACUUCUUUUGAAUGGGAACAAUAACCUCCACGAGUUGGGGGCUUGAGGGUACCAUUAGAAUAAGCACCGGCUAACUCCGUGCCAGCAGCCGCGGUAAUACGGAGGGUGCAAGCGUUAUCCGGAAUCACUGGGUUUAAAGGGUGCGUAGGCGGUUCGAUAAGUCAGUUGUGAAAUACCCCGGCUUAACCGGUGGACGUGCGAUUGAUACUGUUGGACUUGAAUCAGGUUGAGGUAGGCGGAAUGUGGCAUGUAGCGGUGAAAUGCAUAGAUAUGCCAUAGAACACCGAUUGCGAAGGCAGCUUGCUGGACCUGUAUUGACGCUGAGGCACGAAAGC
rnacentral:rRNA from 1 species